UGUCGCUGAUCCAGGAUCUGCUGAAGGAGAUCCAGGACCUGAAGGAGUCCAGAGACGACCUGAAGAAAGAGGUCAAGAGCCUCCAGAACCAACUCAACCAGCUGAAUAUGAGUGAGCUGGUUGACAGAAUCAACGAAGUGGAACAGUACUGCCACCGACUGGACAACCUGGACUCUGCCACCAAAGAGCUGCAGGACAGAGUUGGGCGUUACCCAGACCCAGAUGAGCUCAUCCAGUGUGUGACCUGGGACAUCAUGCAGACCACCUUGGUUAGCGAGCAACAGAAUCUGC